rnacentral:rRNA from 1 species
AUGUGGUUCCGACUAUGCUUUUGGAGUGCAACAGCUGAAAAAUUAACAUCUCAGCUCAAGGAAGCUUCCCCCAGGAUUACAUGUCAAGGAUUGGUAUUCAGUUAUUCACAUGCUGGCCAACAUAAUGUGGAACAAUUGUUACAAGAGAUCUUGAUCGCUUGUCAUUGUUUCUCCUGUACGAUGUAUACAUAUGUAUACAAGUUGCAAUUAAUUGGUGAGAUACCUGAAAUGCAAAUAUAUAUCAAGGAAAAGGCUUCUUGUACUGUCCCUCGCUGGUGUUGGGAGAAAUUACAUCAAUGUCGGCGAGUUCGAAGGGCGCCAUCACUGCUCCACGACCGUCUGCUUGGGUACUUAUCCCCUGGAGCCUGGACAUGA